rnacentral:rRNA from 1 species
CUACGGGAGGCAGCAGCAAGGAAUUUUCGUCAAUGGGCGCAAGCCUGAACGAGCAACGCCGCGUGGAGGGCGACGGCCUUCGGGUUGUAAACUCCUUUUGCGGGGGAUGACAUCGACCGUACCCCGCGAAUCAGGCUCGGCUAACUCUGUGCCAGCAGCCGCGGUAAGACAGAGGAGCCAAGCGUUGUCCGGAUUGACUGGGCGUAAAGCGCACGCAGGCGGUGGGGCACGUGGGGUGUGAAAGCGGCCCGCUUAACGGGGCGAGGCCAUCCCAUACGGCCCGACUCGAGAGUGGCAGAGGUUCGUGGAAUUGCCGGUGUAGUGGUGAAAUGCGUAGAGAUCGGCAGGAACACCAAGGGGGAAACCAGCGAACUGGGCCAUAUCCGACGCUCAGGUGCGAAAGCGUGGGGAGCGAACCGGAUUAGAUACCCCGGUAGUCC